CGCCUGUUAGCCUUCCAAUAUGUUUUUGUAGUUAGUAUUUAGAAAUUCAUAUGGAUUGUAUUGUCAACUAUUUUUCCUCUGUUUGUUGCCUGGUUUGCUCAAUUUUGAAUCAUAAAUUUUUAUUUGACAUGUGAAUUCAGAUGAGUCACAUAAUAGGACAUACUCAGAUUGAGGAAGAUAUGUCGGAAAAUGCAGAGAAAAUUGGCAGCAAACCCUUGAACCUGAACAGAGCACAGACGAGGAGGGAAGAAAUUUUUACACUGUAAGAUUUUUUCCUGGUUUAAGUCGUUACGAACAGGGUGCUUGAUUUUAGACACCUUCCCAAUGAAGGAGUUGGUUAUUAGCAGCAACGAAGAUCCAAGAAUAAAGGAAGUUUACAUGACUGAGGAAAGCUGAUAAAAUUGCUGGGUUAGCUGAUGUUGAAUUUGUGAUGCCUGGGGAAUAUCAUGUUCUAUUUCCGAAGCCACCUCCUACUCCUUGGCCUGUAGAAGGUCGUUAUUAUCCAUGUUAAAUCUUUGGAGCCACCCGGUCCAGAAGCUGGUGCAACCCCACAAAUAUUUGAAUCUUUGUUAAUUCUGAGUUUGGUUUGGUAAUUUGGAUAGCAUUUGAAGGUUUGAGUUAGAUAUUUGAUCACUAUAUCCAUGAAUUUAACCUGGUUGGUAAUAGGGAUGGAUGCUUGGAUGUUGAAACAAUGCCAACGUCAAAAUCUUGCUACAUUAAUUCCACUGAUUUUACGUGUUUAGUACCAAAAUAAAACGAACACAAAAUAAAA